GGAGAAGGUACAGUAAACCACUUCAUUCAGACACUGUGAAGAUCACCAUGGUGAGAAACUUGAUCAGCUCUGUCAUCAACCUGAAAGACUGAGGGAUUCCUGCAUGGAGAAGGUACAGUAAACCACUUCAUUCAGACACUGUGAAGAUCACCAUGGUGAGAAACUUGACCAGCUCUGUCAUCAACCUGAAAGACUGAGGGAUUCCUGCAUGGAGAAGGUACAGUAAACCACUUCAUUCAGACACUGUGAAGAUCACCAUGGUGAGAAACUUGAUCAGCUCUGUCAUCAACCUGAAAGACUGAGGGAUUCCUGCAUGGAGAAGGUACAGUAAACCACUUCAUUCAGACACUGUGAAGAUCACCAUGGUGAGAAACUUGACCAGCUCUGUCAUCAACCUGAAAGACUGAGGGAUUCCUGCAUGGAGAAGGUACAGUAAACCACUUCAUUCAGACACUGUGAAGAUCACCAUGGUGAGAAACUUGAUCAGCUCUGUCAUCAACCUGAAAGACUGAGGGAUUCCUGCAUGGAGAAGGUACAGUAAACCACUUCAUUCAGACACUGUGAAGAUCACCAUGGUGAGAAACUUGAUCAGCUCUGUCAUCAACCUGAAAGACUGAGGGAUUCCUGCAUGGAGAAGGUACAGUAAACCACUUCAUUCAGACACUGUGAAGAUCACCAUGGUGAGAAACUUGAUCAGCUCUGUCAUCAACCUGAAAGACUGAGGGAUUCCUGCAUGGAGAAGGUACAGUAAACCACUUCAUUCAGACACUGUGAAGAUCACCAUGGUGAGAAACUUGACCAGCUCUGUCAUCAACCUGAAAGACUGAGGGAUUCCUGCAUGGAGAAGGUACAGUAAACCACUUCAUUCAGACACUGUGAAGAUCACCAUGGUGAGAAACUUGACCAGCUCUGUCAUCAACCUGAAAGACUGAGGGAUUCCUGCAUGGAGAAGGUACAGUAAACCACUUCAUUCAGACACUGUGAAGAUCACCAUGGUGAGAAACUUGACCAGCUCUGUCACUGAACUGAAAGACUGAGGGAUUCCUGCAUGGAGAAGGUACAGUAAACCACUUCAUUCAGACACUGUGAAGAUCACCAUGGUGAGAAACUUGAUCAGCUCUGUCAUCAAACUGAAAGACUGAGGGAGUCCUGCAUGGAGAAGGUACAGUAAACCACUUCAUUCAGACACUGUAUUGACAUUUUGCUAAUUAUCCGGGAUAUAGUUUUGGAAUGUUAACCAUGAAAGGGAAGUUGACUUAAAAUCCAGAAAUUCCCAAGUGAUUCCAUACAUUGAAACUAAUUUGGUGGAGUUUGCCCUCUCUCCCU